GAGAGAGAGAGAGAGAGAGAGAGAGAGGGUGGUCACAUGCACUUGUUUUGGUUGAGAUGCUUCCUUUCCUUUUCUCCUAAAUUUGCUAAGAAGCGUGCCAAUGGUCCCCAUUAAACUCAUUGUGUUUUUAACUCUUUUUUGGUUCAUGUAUGUUGUGAAGGAGAUACCCACUUAAAGUGGAUAAAAGCUCAAGGUGAAAAUUACAAGAGGUCACUGCCUUGUCUGCAUGGUGGUGGCAUAAGCCUGAUAAUAUUCAAUUUGUCUUACUUUGGACCACUGCCAUCUGUUCUGAUCAUAAUUAAAUUGAUCACAAUACUAAUUCUAUUUUCUAGCCCCCUAAUAAUUACAAAAUCACCACAAGACUCAACACAGGAAUUCUUUGGCCUCUAUUUAUAUCACUCUCUUCUCCUCUUCUCCAAACACAUCCCAGACCUAAAGAAAAACCAGAGACCUCUGCCCCUCCUCCUCCCCACUCUCUCUCUUUCUUUCUUCCGCACAUGGAUAUGGUUUUGCUUGCUUCUCGUGGACCACCAGCAGUUGAAGCUGCCAGCAUGAUCUAAACUUCCCUUUUGGCCAGUUGAGGAAAGAUCAGAUCAUGUGGUAGCUUCACCUGUUGACGGGAUCACGAAAACGAACUUUACUUUCACAAUUCUAGCCCCUACACUAUCAGGCUAGUCUCUUUAUGUGAUUUUUCUCAUUUGGGUAGUCCUUUAUUUUGCUCUAAUUUGCUUUUCAUUUGAGUACCAUGGUACUGUUCCAUCGUUUUUUUUUUCCUCUUCCCCUGUCCUUUUUCUUUUGCCUCAGUAUUAUUUGGCUUCCUCCACUUGUAGGAUCUAACUUUGUGCAGAACUUUAUUUUGCAAAAGAAAGUCUUGACUUGACCAAUGAGAAUGAUCUUGAGCUAUGGAAGUAUGAGGGCAUGCUGGGGAAUCUUUCCGACCCAAAAUUGUUAGGGUUUUGAGUGACAGAAUUUCUCCAACCCAAAAAUGUCUGGUGCUUUUGAGAUUCCAAUCUUAUCUUAAUAAGUCCUUAUUCUGCAUAAUAAAGCCUUUAAUUGCAUUGCCUUUUUAAUUUAGUUUAAUGUAUUGGUUUUGUGCAAGAACAAUUUAAACGGUGACAUCUGUAAAAGAAUGCAUAACAAGGGGGGAAAAAGCACUUGAAUCUCUGUGCAUGGCUGGCUGCAACUGCAAGUACUAUUAUAAAGCUUCUGCUGUUCCAUCACGUAUAUACUUUUAAUAAGUCUCUUGGAUAUCUUUGUUUAAUCUUUUCAAGAACGAAAAUGCUUGUGAAAUUUCUGCCCUACAUGUUUGUACUUAUUCGUGUCUAACUCCGCGCAUGGGUUGCCAACGAGGUAUAAUCUAAUGGAAAAUAACUUUGAUUUGAA